rnacentral:misc_RNA from 1 species
GAUGAAGAACGCAGCGAAAUGCGAUAAGUAGUGUGAAUUGCAGAAUUCAGUGAAUCAUCGAAUCUUUGAACGCACAUUGCGCCCCUUGGUAUUCCAUGGGGCAUGCCUGUUCGAGCGUCAUUUGUACCCUCAAGCAAUGCUUGGUGUUGGGUGAUUGUCUGCCUACUUGGGCAGACUCGCCUCAAAUUCAUUGGCAGCUGGUAUUCUGGUUUUAAGCGUAGCACAAUUACGUUUUUCUCUAGUAGAGCCCGCGUCCACAAAGCACAUCAUCACGUUUGACCUCGGAUCAGGUAGGGAUACCCGCUGAACUUAAGCAUAUCAAUAAGCGGAGGA